CUAGCGACAGGCCUAACACGAUGGCAAGUCGAGGGGCAGCGGGGAUGAAGCUUGCUUCAUCUGCCGGCGACCGGCGCACGGGUGAGUAACACGUAUGCAACCUGCCCGCCACAGGGGGAUAAACGCUGGAAACGGCGCCUAAUACCCCCAUACUAUCGCUAUGCUGCAUGGCAUGGCGAUGAAAACUCCGGUGGUGGCGGAUAGGCUCGCGUGACAUUAGCUAGAUGGCGGGGUAACGGCCCACCAUGGCUACGAUGUCUAGGGGUUCUGAGAGGAAGGUCCCCCACACUGGAACUGAGACACGGUCCAGACUCCUACGGGAGGCAGCAGUGAGGAAUAUUGGUCAAUGGUCUGACGACUGAACCAGCCAUGCCGCGUGAAGGUGACGGCCCUAUGGGUCUUAAACUUCUUUUGUAAGGGAGCAAUAAGGUGCACGUGUGCAUCGAUGAGAGUACCUUACGAAUAAGCAUCGGCUAACUCCGUG
rnacentral:rRNA from 1 species